rnacentral:rRNA from 1 species
UACGGAGGGUGCGAGCGUUGUCCGGAAUCACUGGGCGUAAAGGGCGCGUAGGCGGCCUGAUAAGUAGGGGUGAAAUCCUGCGGCUUAACCGCAGGGCUGCCUUCUAAACUGUCAGGCUAGAGCACAGUAGAGGCAGGUGGAAUUCCCGGUGUAGCGGUGGAAUGCGUAGAGAUCGGGAAGAACAUCAGUGGCGAAGGCGGCCUGCUGGGCUGUUGCUGACGCUGAGGCGCGACAGCGUGGGGAGCAAACAGG